AUUGAACGCUGGCGGCAGGCCUAACACAUGCAAGUCGAGCGAGCGGCGGACGGGUGAGUAAUGUAUGGGGAACUGCCUGAUGGAGGGGGAUAACUACUGGAAACGGUAGCUAAUACCGCAUACCAUCAGAUGUACCCAUAUGGGAUUAGCUUGUAGGUGGGGUAACGGCUCACCAAGGCGACGAUCCCUAGCUGGUCUGAGAGGAUGAUCAGCCACACUGGGACUGAGACACGGCCCAGACUCCUACGGGAGGCAGCAGUGGGGAAUAUUGCACAAUGGGCGAAAGCCGGAUGCAGCCAUGCCGCGUGUAUGAAGAAGGCCUUCGGGUUGUAAAGUACUUUCAGUGGGGAGGCGUUACCGACAGAAGAAGCACCGGCUAACUCCGUGCCAGCAGCCGCGGUAAUAC
rnacentral:rRNA from 1 species